CAUUGGCGCCCGCCUCCAACACUACAUGAUGACCACGACCACUCUGUCAAGAGUGACACGACUAAGAAGAAGACUCACACAACUAAUGAAUUUAAGCAGUACAUUGAGUCGCUUAGGAUAAAGUACAUUUUGAUCGCGGUGGCGUCCUCACAUGCCAAUGGACAAAUAGAAAGACUCAAUUGUUCUAUUUUAUCAUCACCGACUGCUUUAUGGCUUGGAGAAAAUGACAAAGAUUGGUGCAGUCAUCUUUAAGUUAAGCUAUAGGUAUAGGUAUGCCUCUCAUAAAUUAUAUUCAAUGGAACAAGUGUAAAUAUAGAAGAAGGGGAAUGACACGUAUUAAAUGUAGCCAAACCGAUUCAACCUUUAAUGUGGAUAGAAUACGUAAUGAAUCUAAUAAAAGCAUUUUGCUGAGUCAAUGAAAAAUUGAAACUAGAUACGACUAACGUCGAAAGUCGUACACACAAAAUAGAUGAUUUACUUAAAGAUCAAAAGAAAGUAAUAAGUUGGUGACUCCUUUCAGCGAUCCAUUUACGAGUUACAGUGGUACUUGAUCACUAUAGAUAAGAGGAGAGUAGUGUAGAAGGAUAAUUGAAAAAUAAAUUUUAAAAUGUAUUCUCGGUCGACAAAAUGAAACCGUGGAUAAACCAGGUGGAAUCUGAUUCCGACAGUUCAUAUGAAGAUUUAUACAAAGAGUUAAUGAACAAAGUCUGUAAGUAGUUCAAUUACAUAAGAGAAAUUUAUUGAGAACUUCGCUGAUCCUUACCACAAAAAUGAUAAAUAUUAAUUCUAUUUAUAUAAAUAUAUAUAACAAGACCAUUAUUAUGUAUUUACAAGUAUCCAUUCUAUGCCCAUCCCCAUCAAGAGUCCUUAAGAGAGUUGUACGAGGACGCCCCACUGGAGAAGCUGUGAUUGGCAUUAACAGCCAUGCUAAAAGAGGAAGCUCUAAAAGACCGACACACUGAGCGUGGUGUGAGCGGUGGUUCAGUUAAUUAUGAAAAGGACCUGUGCAAGGCUGACACACUGAGCGUGGUGUGAGCAGUAGUGCCAGGCAAUGAUGAAAGAUAAAGCUGCUGACUAUGGCCGACACACUGAGCGUGGUGUGAGCGGUAGUUCAGCUAAUUAAGAGAAGGAACUGCACAAGGCCGACACACUGAGCGUGGUGUAAGCGGUAGUGCCAGUUGCCGUUGUAAGAGACCGACACACUGAGCGUGGUGUGAGCGGUGGUUCAGUUAAUUAUGAAAAGGACCUGUGCAAGGCUGACACACUGAGCGUGGUGUGAGCAGUAGUGCCAGGCAAUGAUGAAAGAUAGUUGCUGACUAUGGCCGACACACUGAGCGUGGUGUGAGCGGUGGUCCAGCUAAUUAAGAGAAGGAACUGCACAAGGCCGACACACUGAGCGUGGUGUAAGCGGUAGUGCUAGUUGCCGUUGUAAGAGACCGACACACUGAGCGUGGUGUGAGCGGUGGUUCAGUUGAUGAAGAAAAGGACCUGUGCAAGGCUGACACACUGAGCGUGGUGUGAGCAGUAGUGCCAGGCAAUGAUGAAAGAUAAAGUUGCUGACUAAGGCCGACACACUGAGCGUGGUGUGAGCGGUACAGCCAGCAAAAUCAAUCAUAUUCAAUUUCUGAAGCAGAAUCGAAGCAAAUUUAAAAGCUCAUUUGCAUGCGUAUUUUAACUACGGGAUUGGGGAUCCACAAAGUGAGGACACUAUACAUCUCAGGAUGGCCGAAUAGAAAACAGUAUGAUUCGGUUGCGAACGAUUUAUUGGUACUCAAAUAUU
rnacentral:lncRNA from 1 species